GUAUUCGUAUUUAUAUUGAGCGUUUUGCACCUUAUUAGACUACUGUGCAGAAAAUUUUUGCACAGUGAAUAUUUGCACACCUCACACAUCAGUCUAACAGCAUACUUUGAUACUAACUUUUUUCGUCUUUGUUUUGAUUUUGUGCUCCAAAAAUGACAUCCACGCACCACCAUGUAACGCAUUUUAUAUGAACAUUUUACAAAUCUUGUAUGAGCUGUAACAUCCGAAAGACCCCCAUCCUACCUCUUCAGCGUUAUUAAAUCAGUGAAUAAGCUCUUGACUUAUCCACCGGUGAACUAAAUUGGAUCGAUCCAGGAAUUCAAUCCGAACAUUGCCAGAAACGCCACCGAAAGAAUGCUACAGUGACCAGAGGAGAAUUCACACCUCUUGAUGACGAGUUGAGUUCGUUUCUCAACGUAGAGUAUUUGAGUGAACCGUUAGAUAACGACAAGAUCAAGUUGCUGAAAGCUCUUCCGUUAAAAGGAAUGCCGAUUUGAUAAUCUAUUAUAUCCUGAAUCUGUGGGAAACAUAUCUGAUUCUGGAUAUGAUUUAGAUGAUUCUACCAUAAUAGAUUCAACAAUCAAUAGUUUUCCAAAUAAAAAACUUCCCAAUGAGCCUUACGGCUGCUGACUGUUAUAAAAUGCUUAUCCCUUCCCCAAUCUCCCGUUUGCCGUCCGCGCUUCCAAGGGCCAUGUAAAAAGAACAAUGUAAAAGAAUUCUGAUAAUGGGGUGUAGCUGACAAUACGGUGGAGAUUUUUAACAUCAAUGCUGGUUGCUUUCAAAUAAACAUAACCAUAACGUAGUAUUCACCCAAUCUAUUUGACUGCUUUAAAUUUAUUUGAAACGUCAUGCAUAGCUUUCAAAUCAUACGCCUGCUGAUGUCAAGGAGUGUGCAAAUUGUCUCCGGCACAUGAACAAUUUCAUUAGAAUCUACACGGAGAAAAAACGCCCUAGUUUGAAACAACCAACAUGUUUGUUGAAUUUCAAACUGCAAAUUUUGUUAUUUUAAAUCCAAAAUUUGUUGUUCCAAAUUCAUUGUUUUGUUUAAAACUAAUUUGUUUAUUAGGUUGUUUCAAUAUGAAAUCUUGUGUCGUUAUAAUGUGAAUAAUUGUUGUUUCAAACUAAGCUUUUAGGUUGUUUCUACAAACGGCUGGUUUGAUUUUACUAAAAAUUAGGUUAUUUGUUUCUCUAGGUGUCAAAAUAGAAUAAUGGGUUGGUUCGACCAAAAUUGUACGUUGAAUCAAACUAAGAUUUUAUUUGGAUUAGAAACAACCAAAAUUUCAGUUUGAAACUAACCAACUUCAUGUGUUGUUUCUACGAAAGCAAAACUGGUCAACUCAAAUAUGUUAAGUAACUGCAAUUUGUUCCCAGUGAUAAGCAUUUCAACUGGAGUUGCUUGUGAAGAUCCUAUAACGAACGAGAAAUGCUGCGGCUAACCCUUCAUUUUUCUGUUGAAUUCCGAAGCAGAAUGAUUGGAGAAAGUAUGCGUCAUGGCAGAAAAUUUCCAGAAGAUAAGGGCGUGCAGUUUUCGAAAGCAAGAGCCUGGUGUUUCAGGAAUUAUGAUAUGUAAUAAUUAUCUUUGAAGACAUCUACUUUACGAAACCUAAAUGAAUAAUAUAAUAUACCUCAUAAAAUA